rnacentral:rRNA from 1 species
CGUGUAGGUGGAUUGGUGUGUCAGAUGUGAAAUCCCUGGGCUCAACCCAGGAACUGCACCUGAAACUACCAGUCUUGAGUGGUGGAGAGGGAAGUGGAAUUCCUGGUGUAGAGGUGAAAUUCGUAGAUAUCAGGAGGAACACCAGUGGCGAAGGCGGCUUCCUGGACACCAACUGACGCUGAGACGCGAAAGCGUGGGGAGCAAACA